CCUACGGGGGGCAGCAGUGAGGAAUAUUGGUCAAUGGCCGAGAGGCUGAACCAGCCAAGUCGCGUGAGGGAAGACGGCCCUACGGGUUGUAAACCUCUUUUGUCGGGGAGCAAAGCGAGUCACGUGUGACUCAUUGAGUGUACCCGAAGAAAAAGCAUCGGCAAACUCCGCGCCAGCAGCCGCGGUAAUAUGGGGGAUACGAGCGUUGUCCGGAUUUAUUGGGUUUAAGGGGUGCGCAGGCGGAGGUGCAAGUCAGCGGUCAAGUUGCGGGGCUCAACCCCGUAGUGCCGUGGAAACUGAAUCCCUUGAGUGCACGAGAAGUAUGCGGAAUGCGUGGUGUAGCGGUGAAAUGCAUAGAUAUCACGCAGAACUCCGAUUGCGAAGGCAGCAUACCGGCGCGCAACUGACGCUCAUGCACGAAAGCGUGGGUAUCGAACAGGAUUAGAUACCCUAGUAGUC
rnacentral:rRNA from 1 species